UUACUAUGCUGGGAGGGCGUGUCAGGUGAUUACUAUGCUGGGAGGGCGUGUCAGGUGAUUACUGUGCUGGGAGGGCGUGUCAGGUGAUUACUAUGCUGGGAGGGCGUGUCAGGUGAUUACUAUGCUGGGAGGGCGUGUCAGGUGAUUACUAUGCUGAGAGGGCGUGUCAGGUGAUUACUGUGCUGGGAGGGCGUGUCAGGUGAUUACUGUGCUGGGAGAGCGUGUCAGGUGAUUACUGUGCUGGGAGGGCGUGUCAGGUGAUUACUAUGCUGGGAGGGCGUGUCAGGUGAUUACUAUGCUGGGAGGGCGUGUCAGGUGAUUACCU